rnacentral:rRNA from 1 species
GGCCACCGCUAUUGAAAUCCGAUUAAGACAUGUGAGUCGAGAGUCUUCGGGACUCGGCAGACGGCUCAGUAACACGCGGAUAAUCUGCCCUUGGGUGGGGAAUAAUCUCGGGAAACUGAGCAUAAUACCCCAUAGGCCUGAGACGCUGGAACGCCUUCAGGCUAAAAGCUCCGGCGCCCAAGGAUGAGUCUGCGGCCUAUCAGCUUGUAGUUGGUGUAAAUGACCAACUAGGCGACGACGGGUACGGGCAUUGGGAGAUGUAGCCCGGAGAUGGACUCUGAGACACGAGUCCAGGCCCUACGGGGCGCAGCAGUCGCGAAAACUUCACAAUGUGGGAAACCGCGAUGAGGGGAUUCCAAGUGCUUGCGUUUUGCGUAAGCUGUUCUCCUGCCUAAAAAGCAGGGGGAGUAAGGGCUGGGUAAGACGGGUGCCAGCCGCCGCGGUAAUACCCGCAGCCCAAGUGGUGGUCGAUAUUAUUGAGCUUAAAGCGUCCGUAGCCUGUCUGGUAAAUUCUUGGGUAAAUCGUGCAGCUUAACUGUCCGAAUUCCGGGGAGACUGCCAGACUUGGGACCGGGAGAGGUUGGAGGUACUCCUGGGGUAGGGGUAAAAUCCCGUAAUCCUGGGAGGACCAUCAGUGGCGAAGGCGUCCAACUGGAACGGAUCCGACGGUCAGGGACGAAGCCCUGGGUCGCGAACUGGAUUAGAUACCCAGGUAGUCCAGGGUGUAAACGCUGCAGACUUGGUGUCGGAGGUCCUACGAGGGCGUCCGGUGCCGGAGAGAAAUUGUUAAGUCUGCCGCUUGGGGAGUACGUCCGCAAGGAUGAAAC